rnacentral:rRNA from 1 species
GACGAACGCUGGCGGCGUGCUUAACACAUGCAAGUCGAACGGUAAGGCCCUUCGGGGUACACAAGUGGCGAACGGGUGAGUAACACGUGGGUGAUCUGCCCUGCACUUCGGGAUAAGCCUGGGAAACUGGGUCUAAUACCGGAUAGGACCACUGCCUGCAUGGGUGGUGGUGGAAAGCUUUUGCGGUGUGGGAUGGGCCCGCGGCCUAUCAGCUUGUUGGUGGGGUGAUGGCCGACCAAGGCGACGACGGGUAGCCGGCCUGAGAGGGUGACCGGCCACACUGGGACUGAGAUACGGCCCAGACUCCUACGGGAGGCAGCAGUGGGGAAUAUUGCACAAUGGGCGCAAGCCUGAUGCAGCGACGCCGCGUGAGGGAUGACGGCCUUCGGGUUGUAAACCUCUUUCAGCACCGACGAAGCGCAAGUGACGGUAGGUGCAGAAGAAGGACCGGCCAACUACGUGCCAGCCGCCGCCGUAA